UGCUUGCAAAAGAGGGCCGACUUGGUUAUGAUGGCAGGCACAAUCUGUUGUUUUACAUAAAAAAAAGCAUGCAAAUGGUCAGUUCUUUGAUGUUGACAAUCUGCAUUCACUAAUUGAUGCAUAUAGGCAUUACCUUGUUGAUGAAAAAGUCUCUCAUAACUGGUUUGCUCACACUUUCUAUGGGCUUUUGCUCUAGAGUUCCAGCCACCCUGUUCUUACUUGAUCUUUUUGCUGCCACCAUCUCUGUAAAUGGGAAUAUGCCUAUCUUCCCAUCAAAUAUAAUGCUGCCAUCUGCAGCAAAUAGUGGUCGGCACACUGCAGAUAUGAACAUCACCUUUUUUAUGAAGUUCUUGUUCUUGCAUGUUCUAUGUGGUUCAGCCUCUGUUGGUGUUAAAUAGAACCUGUGAGAACUCUUUGUUAAGUAAAACCAUUUCUCAUCUACGUGUACAAUGUUUUGCAUGCUCUUGAACCUCAAGUUAUGUGACAGCCUGCCCAUCUCUAUUGCAUCUAAGCAAAACCUCAACCUUAACAGCUUAUUUUGGGCUGUAAGGUCAGGUCUUAGUGCACUCGUGUGAGCUUUGAUCAGACCUUGAUCUAUCCACCGACCUACGGUGCUCUUGCUGCAAUUUAUUCCAUUAGCUAGUCUCCUUAUGGUGGACCUCUUUGUUAAAUCUAAACUUGCAAUUAGCUCUAGGUCUAUUUCAACUCUUUUUCUUCUUGGUCUUGCUAUCUUCUUACUUGAUGAAUUUAUGGCAUGCCCUUGAUUUUGUUGUUGUUUUGCCUCAGCCCAAAUGCGCGAAACAGUUCGCCGGCAGACGUGGAACUUCUCCUCCAUAGCUUUCAUCUUCCCUCUUGGUGGCUUUCCAUUUUUGCUUUCAAGAAGAAGGAAUUGAAGCAUUGAAGACCUCUCCUCUGUUGUUAAAUCCUUUCUUCUCAUCUUUUUUUUUUGGCACUUGUUCUGCUCGCUUGAACAUGAAAAAAUGGUGAGCAAACAAACAAAUGCUCUGUAUAUAUAGCUGAUGUUGGACGCAUAUUGUAGCAAUUUCAAAUUUAUGGAAUGAAAUGAUUAAGUUUGGCCCACCAUUUCUGCCGCCUUUUUUUUCCCUCUAUUUUGCCGUGUUUUAGCAACAGUUACUGUUCCCAAUUCAUAGUUAAUCUAAUAAACAAUUCAAUCACAUUAAAUAAAGCAUUUUAAAAUUAAUUUAAAUUGUUGAAUUAAUUUAAAAGACAUUUUAUUAGUCACUUUAAUUAGUUAAUAAAAUAACAUUAAAUAAAGCACUAAUUCUGUGGUCCCUACUACUUUUACAUCUAAUUCAACUCUCCUUAAUUCCCGUGCCCAAAAGCAAGGAGACUUGAUUAAUGGGACGGAGGGAGUACUAUAUAGUUAUGCCCUAAUAAAUUGCUUAAUUUAAUAUUAGUGGACCAAAACCUUACGCUUUACCAGCCUAGCAACUCAUUAUGCGGAUGAUGGUGGGCCGAUUAAUCUUCUAUAUCCUUUUUUUAAUUGUGGAAUUGCUUUGACCUUUCUCUCUAAUCUCUCUUCUCUCUUUAAAAUAAAUUAUUAUUUUAUAAAAUCUUUGUUUUAUUUAUUGUUUUUACUUAGUUUUAAAAUUUAAAUUUUUUAACUCUUUAAAUUUUAAUUAUUGUAUUGUAUUUUAAUUAAUGUAAUGUUUGAAUUUUAAUUUUAAUAAAAUAUUAAAUUUUAAAAUAAAAAAUAAAAAUGAGAUUAAAUGAAAAUGGAGAUUAAUGCCAAUGCACUCGAGAGGGGUGUUGCUAAGGUGGAGACCACCAAUUAUCACCACCUCUAAGCGUCAAGGAUCGGAGAUGCUCUAAUAGCUGCAAAAUCAGCAUAAUGUAGACCCAAAUCAUAAUCAUCUUCAUCUUGACAAUCAGCAUAAUGUAGACCCAAAUCAUAAUCAUCUUCAUCUUGACAAUCAGCAUAAUGUAGACCCAAAUCAUAAUCAUCUUCAUCUUGACAAUACGACAAACAAUAUUUGUAUUGCAAAUACAGAUCUCCAACCCAUACUACAGCCUGGAUCAUUGGUCCAAUGUCUUACUGGCUACUGCUUAUUACAACCCAUCAUCUUAGCGACGUUAUAUUGUUUGAGAGAGAGAGGGAAAACAUCACAUUUCUUCUUUUACCAGUUCUGGAAUGAUAGAAUCAAAGCAAAUGCAAAUAAAAGGGUCCCAUAAAUUCCCCCCCCCCCCCCUCACUCACUCUAGAACUAGAACGAAUUCUUGAAAAGAAAACCAACCAGUAAUUGACAAAAUGUACAUCUGGAGCAUGCAAAAGAUAAUACUUUUUUUUUCCCUCAUGAAUUAUCUAAAGGAAAGAAGAGAACUAACUCUAGGACCCUAUUAGCAGCAACGAGCAUUAUAUCUUCUUGGCAUCAUCUUCCAGCGGAUCACGUAGAGUUCCGAACAUCCAGUCCAUCCAUAUUGUGUAGUGACCAUAGUNAGCUCUAGGUCUAUUUCAACUCUUUUUCUUCUUGGUCUUGCUAUCUUCUUACUUGAUGAAUUUAUGGCAUGCCCUUGAUUUUGUUGUUGUUUUGCCUCAGCCCAAAUGCG
rnacentral:lncRNA from 1 species